GGUUAAGCGACUAAGCGUACACGGUGGAUGCCCUGGCAGUCAGAGGCGAUGAAGGGCGUGCUAAUCUGCGAUAAGCGCCGGUAAGGUGAUAUGAACCGUUAUAACCGGCGAUACCCGAAUGGGGAAACCCAGUGUGAUUCGUCACACUAUCAUUAACUGAAUCCAUAGGUUAAUGAGGCGAACCGGGGGAACUGAAACAUCUAAGUACCCCGAGGAAAAGAAAUCAACCGAGAUUCCCCCAGUAGCGGCGAGCGAACGGGGAGGAGCCCAGAGCCUGAAUCAGCAUGUGUGUUAGUGGAAGCGUCUGGAAAGGCGCGCGAUACAGGGUGACAGCCCCGUACACAAAAGCGCAUGUGCUGUGAGCUCGAUGAGUAGGGCGGGACACGUGGUAUCCUGUCUGAAUAUGGGGGAAUUCAUCCUCCAAGGCUAAAUACUCCUGACUGACCGAUAGUGAACCAGUACCGUGAGGGAAAGGCGAAAAGAACCCCGGCGAGGGGAGUGAAAAAGAACCUGAAACCGUGUACGUACAAGCAGUGGGAGCACCCUUCGGGGUGUGACUGCGUACCUUUUGUAUAAUGGGUCAGCGACUUAUAUUCUGUAGCAAGGUUAACCGAAUAGGGGAGCCGCAGGGAAACCGAGUCUUAAUUGGGCGUUAAGUUGCAGGGUAUAGACCCGAAACCCGGUGAUCUAGCCAUGGGCAGGUUGAAGGUUGGGUAACACUAACUGGAGGACCGAACCGACUAAUGUUGAAAAAUUAGCGGAUGACCUGUGGCUGGGGGUGAAAGGCCAAUCAAACCGGGAGAUAGCUGGUUCUCCCCGAAAGCUAUUUAGGUAGCGCCUCGUGAAUUCAUCUCCGGGGGUAGAGCACUGUUUCGGCUAGGGGGCCAUCCCGGCUUACCAACCCGAUGCAAACUGCGAAUACCGGAGAAUGUUAUCACGGGAGACACACGGCGGGUGCUAACGUCCGUCGUGAAGAGGGAAACAACCCAGACCGCCAGCUAAGGCCCCAAAGUCAUGGUUAAGUGGGAAACGAUGUGGGAAGGCCCAGACAGCCAGGAUGUUGGCUUAGAAGCAGCCAUCAUUUAAAGAAAGCGUAAUAGCUCACUGGUCGAGUCGGCCUGCGCGGAAGAUGUAACGGGGCUAAACCAUGCACCGAAGCUGCGGCAGCGAACGUAUCACCCAAGACAACUUUGCGGAGUUGACGAUUGACGGAGCGAAGCGACGUCAAAGCGUUCAUUAAAGUCGAGUUGGCUUAGGGAUACGUUCGUUGGGUAGGGGAGCGUUCUGUAAGCCUGUGAAGGUGGCCUGUGAGGGUUGCUGGAGGUAUCAGAAGUGCGAAUGCUGACAUAAGUAACGAUAAAGCGGGUGAAAAGCCCGCUCGCCGGAAGACCAAGGGUUCCUGUCCAACGUUAAUCGGGGCAGGGUGAGUCGACCCCUAAGGCGAGGCCGAAAGGCGUAGUCGAUGGGAAACGGGUUAAUAUUCCCGUACUUGGUGUUACUGCGAAGGGGGGACGGAGAAGGCUAUGUUGGCCGGGCGACGGUUGUCCCGGUUUAAGCGUGUAGGUGUGUGUUCCAGGUAAAUCCGGUUCACUUUAACACUGAGGCGUGAUGACGAGGCACUACGGUGCUGAAGCAACAAAUGCCCUGCUUCCAGGAAAAGCCUCUAAGCAUCAGGUAACAUCAAAUCGUACCCCAAACCGACACAGGUGGUCAGGUAGAGAAUACCAAGGCGCUUGAGAGAACUCGGGUGAAGGAACUAGGCAAAAUGGUGCCGUAACUUCGGGAGAAGGCACGCUGACAUGUAGGUGAAGUGAUUUACUCAUGGAGCUGAAGUCAGUCGAAGAUACCAGCUGGCUGCAACUGUUUAUUAAAAACACAGCACUGUGCAAACACGAAAGUGGACGUAUACGGUGUGACGCCUGCCCGGUGCCGGAAGGUUAAUUGAUGGGGUCAGCGCAAGCGAAGCUCCUGAUCGAAGCCCCGGUAAACGGCGGCCGUAACUAUAACGAUCCUAAGGUAGCGAAAUUCCUUGUCGGGUAAGUUCCGACCUGCACGAAUGGCGUAAUGAUGGCCAGGCUGUCUCCACCCGAGACUCAGUGAAAUUGAACUCGCUGUGAAGAUGCAGUGUACCCGCGGCAAGACGGAAAGACCCCGUGAACCUUUACUAUAGCUUGACACUGAACAUUGAGCCUUGAUGUGUAGGAUAGGUGGGAGGCUUUGAAGUGUGGACGCCAGUCUGCAUGGAGCCGACCUUGAAAUACCACCCUUUAAUGUUUGAUGUUCUAACGUGAAUCCGUAAUCCGGGUUGCGGACAGUGUCUGGUGGGUAGUUUGACUGGGGCGGUCUCCUCCUAAAGAGUAACGGAGGAGCACGAAGGUUGGCUAAUCCUGGUCGGACAUCAGGAGGUUAGUGCAAUGGCAUAAGCCAGCUUGACUGCGAGCGUGACGGCGCGAGCAGGUGCGAAAGCAGGUCAUAGUGAUCCGGUGGUUCUGAAUGGAAGGGCCAUCGCUCAACGGAUAAAAGGUACUCCGGGGAUAACAGGCUGAUACCGCCCAAGAGUUCAUAUCGACGGCGGUGUUUGGCACCUCGAUGUCGGCUCAUCACAUCCUGGGGCUGAAGUAGGCCCCAAGGGUAUGGCUGUUCGCCAUUUAAAGUGGUACGCGAGCUGGGUUUAGAACGUCGUGAGACAGUUCGAUCCCUAUCUGCCGUGGGCGCUGGAGAACUGAGGGGGGCUGCUCCUAGUACGAGAGGACCGGAGUGGACGCAUCACUGGUGUUCGGGUUGUCAUGCCAAUGGCACUGCCCGGUAGCUAAAUGCGGAAGAGAUAAGUGCUGAAAGCAUCUAAGCACGAAACUUGCCCCGAGAUGAGUUCUCCCUUGGACUUUAAGUCCACUGAAGGAACGUUGAAGACGACGACGUUGAUAGGCCGGGUGUGUAAGCGCAGCGAUGCGUUGAGCUAACCGGUACUAAUGAACCGUGAGGCUUAACCUU
rnacentral:rRNA from 1 species